UUCCCGUAAUAGAAGGAACUAGAAAGAACCGCCAGGGGCUUGGCCUGGGGUGGGGGUGGGGGCCCGGAGAAGCUGGAGCCAGGGGCGGCGGGCGGCGGGCGGCGGGCCCUUCUCCGGCUGCUGUUCCAGGCAGUGCCGGUUGGGGCUGAUGGCUGGCAGCGGAGCCCCGGCCGCGUGACACUGCGGAUUCCCCGAGCCCGGCCGAGGAGCGGCAGGGCAGCCGCAGCGGUGCUCCCUUCGCCUCCUCCCCGUCUUUGUUUUCUUCCCUCGUCACGCAAUUUCCCCUGGGGGUUCGCAAAACACCCCCCCCCCAAACAAAAAAAAAACAACAAAAAGCCAACCCACGGGUUCAUCUUAAAAGGUGUUCUGGAGGCUUAAAGAACCCCCCUCACCCUCGCCCUCCUCGUUCAGGUGGAACCGACCACUUUUCACCUGUUGGUGGCUAAAGUGUCUCCAAGGACGCGGUUGUCGGAAACAGAGCUUGGAUUCCCUUGAAACGAGGGAACUGGGAUCAACCCAGCUGGUCCUCUGAGGGAAUGUCUGACCGUGGGGCAGUCAGGUUGGCCAGAGUAUGCACUUCUUCCCACAUAGUGUGCCCUCAGUAAAGGUUACAAGUUUGUGUGAUUUACAUACGUGUACAGUGAAGUAUUUGGAAGAGAUGGACUUUGGCCAGUCGAUGGAAUUUUAUUUGAUCUUCUCAUCAAAUGACUUUAAAAAUGAAAUGAAAAGUUCCAGCUUUCAUUUUUUAAUUCUUUUGGCAAGAUAUGAUGAAAAUAAAUCCAAGAAGAGUAGGAAGAUGUCAUGUGAAAUGCCAAGAAAAUGGAUUAACAAAAAAAAAUCAUCUGUUUUAAGGUGGAGCAGUUCAAAUAUUAAGAAAAAGAUCUCUUUCUUUUGGCAAGAGAGACAUUUUGGUGGUUUUAUUUCUUGGAUAAAGAAUGGGUCAUUCCUUAUUUAAAUUAAUGGAUACAGCCAGCAAUUCACAUGAACCUCUGACCCACCUGUCUAGAGAGAGAAUGGUAAACCAACAAGGAUACAAAAAAACAAAAUUAAUCCCAAGAAGGAAAUAUUUGGUCUAAAAGCCCACAAGAACUUUGUGGGUGUCUGAGACACCACAGCAUGGUGAGGCGACUGUUUUGCAAUUAAGAAAAUAUGAAACUUUUAUGCGAAACCAACUCGCAAAAGCUCUAGCUCUUCCGUUUUUAGGUGUGAGGCCAAGUUACAUCUGCAUAGGACUCCGUCUGCGUGAUGAGUAAUGUUGAAUGUGGCGGCUUUUUUUAACUGUAGAAUAAACACAGUCUUCACACAGGAUCUUAUUUUAAA
rnacentral:lncRNA from 12 species